CAGGGCUAUAAACUUGAGAAAUUGCAAGCAGGUAGCAGAGGAGCUAGCAAAGUGGUAUGUUUUGCAGCGAACUAGGGCAGCUUACGACAGCUUUGCAGAAGGCCUUAAAGCACUUGGAGUGCUAAGUGCACUGAGAGAACAUCCCAAACAAAUGACAGCACUGCAGCAAUCGGUACAAUGUGGAAUGCAGAACAGUAGGCUACUGGAGAGAUUUCUUGCAAGACUGCCAGUUGUCAAUGGCAUGCGUGUCACUAGAGGAUAUUCUAGUGUUCACUACUGGAACAAAUUAUGUUCCAGCACUUGGAUUCAACCCUGAACCAUCCAUUUACUUCCUUGAGGACAACCAAGAUUGUACCCUUCCGCUGGCAAGCACCUGUGAGAAUAUAAUACGGCUCCCUACGUUCCCUAAAACCUACGAGUCAUUCUGUGAGAAAAUGGGUUUUGGUAUCAGGAAUUCCCCUGGUUUUGGUUUUGCAUGAACCACACAUAUUCUGUUGUCUUCAAAUAGCUGAUUUUUGUUAUUGUGUUUUACACACAUUUUGAGACAUAUAGGUAUUUUUCCCCCUUACUGCAUGCUUACAAAUAAGCACAAUCUCACAGAUGUGGUUGGACUUCAAUGUCACACUAAUUUUCAGUUUUUUUUAUUUUUUUAAACACGUUGAGCUUGAAGUAAAAUUUUUAUUUGUCGCUUACCAACUACAG